rnacentral:rRNA from 1 species
AGCGUACACGGUGGAUGCCCUGGCAGUCAGAGGCGAUGAAGGACGUGCUAAUCUGCGAUAAGCGUCGGUAAGGUGAUAUGAACCGUUAUAACCGGCGAUUUCCGAAUGGGGAAACCCAGUGUGUUUCGACACACUAUCAUUAACUGAAUCCAUAGGUUAAUGAGGCGAACCGGGGGAACUGAAACAUCUAAGUACCCCGAGGAAAAGAAAUCAACCGAGAUUCCCCCAGUAGCGGCGAGCGAACGGGGAGCAGCCCAGAGCCUGAAUCAGUGUGUGUGUUAGUGGAAGCGUCUGGAAAGGCGCGCGAUACAGGGUGACAGCCCCGUACACAAAAAUGCACAUGCUGUGAGCUCGAUGAGUAGGGCGGGACACGUGGUAUCCUGUCUGAAUAUGGGGGGACCAUCCUCCAAGGCUAAAUACUCCUGACUGACCGAUAGUGAACCAGUACCGUGAGGGAAAGGCGAAAAGAACCCCGGCGAGGGGAGUGAAAAAGAACCUGAAACCGUGUACGUACAAGCAGUGGGAGCACGCUUAGGCGUGUGACUGCGUACCUUUUGUAUAAUGGGUCAGCGACUUAUAUUCUGUAGCAAGGUUAACCGAAUAGGGGAGCCGAAGGGAAACCGAGUCUUAACUGGGCGUUAAGUUGCAGGGUAUAGACCCGAAACCCGGUGAUCUAGCCAUGGGCAGGUUGAAGGUUGGGUAACACUAACUGGAGGACCGAACCGACUAAUGUUGAAAAAUUAGCGGAUGACUUGUGGCUGGGGGUGAAAGGCCAAUCAAACCGGGAGAUAGCUGGUUCUCCCCGAAAGCUAUUUAGGUAGCGCCUCGUGAAUUCAUCUCCGGGGGUAGAGCACUGUUUCGGCAAGGGGGUCAUCCCGACUUACCAACCCGAUGCAAACUGCGAAUACCGGAGAAUGUUAUCACGGGAGACACACGGCGGGUGCUAACGUCCGUCGUGAAGAGGGAAACAACCCAGACCGCCAGCUAAGGUCCCAAAGUCAUGGUUAAGUGGGAAACGAUGUGGGAAGGCCCAGACAGCCAGGAUGUUGGCUUAGAAGCAGCCAUCAUUUAAAGAAAGCGUAAUAGCUCACUGGUCGAGUCGGCCUGCGCGGAAGAUGUAACGGGGCUAAACCAUGCACCGAAGCUGCGGCAGCGACGCUUAUGCGUUGUUGGGUAGGGGAGCGUUCUGUAAGCCUGUGAAGGUGUACUGUGAGGUAUGCUGGAGGUAUCAGAAGUGCGAAUGCUGACAUAAGUAACGAUAAAGCGGGUGAAAAGCCCGCUCGCCGGAAGACCAAGGGUUCCUGUCCAACGUUAAUCGGGGCAGGGUGAGUCGACCCCUAAGGCGAGGCCGAAAGGCGUAGUCGAUGGGAAACAGGUUAAUAUUCCUGUACUUGGUGUUACUGCGAAGGGGGGACGGAGAAGGCUAUGUUGGCCGGGCGACGGUUGUCCCGGUUUAAGCGUGUAGGCUGGUUUUCCAGGCAAAUCCGGAAAAUCAAGGCUGAGGCGUGAUGACGAGGCACUACGGUGCUGAAGCAACAAAUGCCCUGCUUCCAGGAAAAGCCUCUAAGCAUCAGGUAACAUCAAAUCGUACCCCAAACCGACACAGGUGGUCAGGUAGAGAAUACCAAGGCGCUUGAGAGAACUCGGGUGAAGGAACUAGGCAAAAUGGUGCCGUAACUUCGGGAGAAGGCACGCUGAUAUGUAGGUGAAGUCCCUCGCGGAUGGAGCUGAAAUCAGUCGAAGAUACCAGCUGGCUGCAACUGUUUAUUAAAAACACAGCACUGUGCAAACACGAAAGUGGACGUAUACGGUGUGACGCCUGCCCGGUGCCGGAAGGUUAAUUGAUGGGGUCAGCGCAAGCGAAGCUCUUGAUCGAAGCCCCGGUAAACGGCGGCCGUAACUAUAACGGUCCUAAGGUAGCGAAAUUCCUUGUCGGGUAAGUUCCGACCUGCACGAAUGGCGUAAUGAUGGCCAGGCUGUCUCCACCCGAGACUCAGUGAAAUUGAACUCGCUGUGAAGAUGCAGUGUACCCGCGGCAAGACGGAAAGACCCCGUGAACCUUUACUAUAGCUUGACACUGAACAUUGAGCCUUGAUGUGUAGGAUAGGUGGGAGGCUUUGAAGUGUGGACGCCAGUCUGCAUGGAGCCGACCUUGAAAUACCACCCUUUAAUGUUUGAUGUUCUAACGUUGACCCGUAAUCCGGGUUGCGGACAGUGUCUGGUGGGUAGUUUGACUGGGGCGGUCUCCUCCUAAAGAGUAACGGAGGAGCACGAAGGUUGGCUAAUCCUGGUCGGACAUCAGGAGGUUAGUGCAAUGGCAUAAGCCAGCUUGACUGCGAGCGUGACGGCGCGAGCAGGUGCGAAAGCAGGUCAUAGUGAUCCGGUGGUUCUGAAUGGAAGGGCCAUCGCUCAACGGAUAAAAGGUACUCCGGGGAUAACAGGCUGAUACCGCCCAAGAGUUCAUAUCGACGGCGGUGUUUGGCACCUCGAUGUCGGCUCAUCACAUCCUGGGGCUGAAGUAGGUCCCAAGGGUAUGGCUGUUCGCCAUUUAAAGUGGUACGCGAGCUGGGUUUAGAACGUCGUGAGACAGUUCGGUCCCUAUCUGCCGUGGGCGCUGGAGAACUGAGGGGGGCUGCUCCUAGUACGAGAGGACCGGAGUGGACGCAUCACUGGUGUUCGGGUUGUCAUGCCAAUGGCACUGCCCGGUAGCUAAAUGCGGAAGAGAUAAGUGCUGAAAGCAUCUAAGCACGAAACUUGCCCCGAGAUGAGUUCUCCCUGACUCCUUGA